rnacentral:misc_RNA from 1 species
AAGUCGUAACAAGGUUUCCGUAGGUGAACCUGCGGAAGGAUCAUUAAAAGAUUUUUGGUAUAAUUUUUUGGGGUCAAUUGAUCUCAAAAAAUAAUUCACCAUUUGUGCAUUGUUAUUAAGAUAUACUUUGGUUAGAGCUUUGACAUUAAGUCAACUUCUUGCUAACUCUAUCCUUUAAAGGACAGUUGGCUAUGAAGCGUGCCUACCAAGGUUUUUAAAUCAAACUCUUUGUAUUUUGUCUGACCUAAAUAAAUAAUAAUUAAAUCAUAACUUUCAACAACGGAUCUCUUGGCUCUC